GCUCCUGUGGUGUAGUCCGGUCAAGCAUACUGCCCUUUCAAGGCAGUGAUCCCGGGUCCAAAUUCGACAGAUGGAAGUCCCGGCGGGAGCA
rnacentral:tRNA from 1 species